rfam:Lasallia pustulata genome assembly, contig: scaffold26805_size937
GGGGGUAUAGUUUAAUUGGUAAAACAACGAAUUUGCAUUUCGUCAUCUUAGGUUCGAAUCUUAAUAUCUCCA